CUAUUUACACAACAGGUGCAGCACGGGCUGCAGCUGUACAAGCUUCCCUACCACUAACCUACAAAUGUGCCUCAGUCAUUAGCUGAAUGAGCCACUUCCAGGACUGG
ensembl:misc_RNA